GUAAAAAAAGCAGUCAGACCUGUCACUCUGGGUGUGCAAAGCGAAACCUAGUAACAGAUUCUUUGAGCAUGCGUUCAGUAACAAGUUUCCAUAGCAUUCUGUGCUCUGUGCCUUGCACACCUGCUGCUUCCGUACUCCUUUCCACUACACUACGCUUGAUGUCCAGGAGGAACUAACCAUCCAACAAUCUAUUUGGAUCUGACCAUCUAUAACCAGGAGAGGACAACUGUAAUCAUGGUGAACUACAGGUUUCUGUCCAGCA